rnacentral:rRNA from 1 species
AUGAACGCUGGCGACGUGGAUAAGGCAUGCAAGUCGAAUGGUUGGAGCAAUCCAGCCAUGGCGAACGAGGUAGUAACACGUAGGUACGUACUCUAAAGUCAAGCAUAACCAGUCGAAAGGCUGGAUAAUUCUUGAUAGUCUCUUCGGAGUAAAGAUUUAUCGCUUUAGGAACGGCCUGCGGAGCAUCAGCUAGUUGGUAGGGUAAAAGCCUACCAAGGCUAUGACGCUUAGGGGAGGUGAGAGCCUGACCCCCACCGAUGGCACUGAGAUACGGGCCAUACUCCUACGGGAGGCCGCAGUCGAGAAUCUUCCGCAAUGGGCGAAAGCCUGACGGAGCGACGUCGCGUGAUUGAUGAAGUCCUUCGGGAUGUAAAGAUCUUUUAUAGAGGAACAAGUUUAUUGAGAUCACUCUAUGAAUAAGGGGUUGCUAAACUCGU